UACAGAGGGGGCAAGCGUUGUUCGGAAUUACUGGGCGUAAAGGGCGCGUAGGCGGCCUUCUAAGUCGAACGUGAAAUCCCCGGGCUCAACCCGGGAACUGCGUCCGAUACUGGAAGGCUUGAAUCCGGGAGAGGGAUGCGGAAUUCCAGGUGUAGCGGUGAAAUGCGUAGAUAUCUGGAGGAACACCAAUGGCGAAGGCAGCUCGCUGGGACGUUACUGACGCUGAGACGCGAAAGCGUGGGGAGCAAACAGG
rnacentral:rRNA from 1 species